rnacentral:rRNA from 1 species
GACAGAGGUGCCAAGCGUUAGGAGGAAUCACUGGGCUUAAAGCGUGUGUAGGCGGACUUGUAAGUACCUUGUGAAAUCCCACGGCUCAACCGUGGAACUGCUUGGUAUACUGCUUGUCUUGAGCCACUUAGGGGCUACCGGAACAAAUGGUGGAGCGGUGAAAUGCGUAGAUAUCAUUUGGAACGCCAAUGGUGAAAACAGGUAGCUGGGAGUGUGCUGACGCUGAGACACGAAAGCCAGGGGAGCGAACGGG